AUUGAACGCUGGCGGCAGGCCUAACACAUGCAAGUCGAACGAGUGGCGGACGGGUGAGUAAUGUCUGGGAAACUGCCUGAUGGAGGGGGAUAACUACUGGAAACGGUAGCUAAUACCGCAUACCAUCAGAUGUGCCCAGAUGGGAUUAGCUAGUUGGUUGGGUAACGGCUCACCAAGGCGACGACCCCUAGCUGGUCUGAGAGGAUUACCAGCCACACUGGAACUGGGACACGGCACAGACCCUUUCGUGAGGCAGCAGUGGGGAAUAUUGCACAAUGGGCGCAAGCCUGAUGCAGCCAUGCCGCUGGUAUGAAGAAGGCCUUCGGGUUGUAAAGUACUUUCAGCGGGGAGGCGUUACCCGCAGAAGAAGCACCGGCUAACUCCGUGCCAGCAGCCGCGGUAAUAC
rnacentral:rRNA from 1 species